rnacentral:snRNA from 1 species
AAACUUACCUGGCUGGGGGCGUCUCGCGAUCAUUAAGGCGGGACCCCCAUGGUGAGGCCCGCGCAUUGCACUUUCGCCCGGGCUGACCCGUGUGGCAGUCUCGAACUGAGAUUCGCCAACAGCUAAAUUUUUGUGUGUGGGGCUGCG